rnacentral:rRNA from 1 species
AGAUUAAACAUAAGAGUUUGAUCCUGGCUCAGAUUGAACGCUGGCGGCAUGCUUUACACAUGCAAGUCGAACGGCAGCACGGAGAGCUUGCUCUCUGGUGGCGAGUGGCGAACGGGUGAGUAAUGCAUCGGAACGUACCGAGUAAUGGGGGAUAACUGUCCGAAAGGAUGGCUAAUACCGCAUACGCCCUGAGGGGGAAAGCGGGGGAUCUUAGGACCUCGCGUUAUUUGAGCGGCCGAUGUUGGAUUAGCUAGUUGGUGGGGUAAAGGCCUACCAAGGCGACGAUCCAUAGCGGGUCUGAGAGGAUGAUCCGCCACAUUGGGACUGAGACACGGCCCAAACUCCUACGGGAGGCAGCAGUGGGGAAUUUUGGACAAUGGGGGGAACCCUGAUCCAGCCAUGCCGCGUGUCUGAAGAAGGCCUUCGGGUUGUAAAGGACUUUUGUUAGGGAAGAAAAGCUUGGUGCUAAUACCACCUAGUGCUGACGGUACCUAAAGAAUAAGCACCGGCUAACUACGUGCCAGCAGCC